UACGUAGGUGGCAAGCGUUGUCCGGAAUUAUUGGGCGUAAAGCGCGCGCAGGCGGUCCUUUAAGUCUGAUGUGAAAGCCCACGGCUCAACCGUGGAGGGUCAUUGGAAACUGGGGGACUUGAGUGCAGAAGAGGAAAGCGGAAUUCCACGUGUAGCGGUGAAAUGCGUAGAGAUCCGGAAGAACGCCAGUGGCGAAGGCGGCCCGCUGGGCAGUGGCUGACGCUGAGGCGCGACAGCGUGGGGAGCAGACAGG
rnacentral:rRNA from 1 species